rnacentral:lncRNA from 1 species
AGAAAGAGUCACGGAGACCAAGAGUUUGGCUCCUUAGCUGCUACUCUGGGUGGGAAUUACAAAUAUCUGGACAUUCUUGCCAGGGUCUAAAAUUCCGGCACUCAAGACAAGGCACGAGAGCUUGCGGCUCCAGUUUUCCCCCCGCGUGCAAAUCCCGGACCACGCGCUAGAGGUCGCUGUUCAUUACAAUCCAACCUCGCCUCCAGUGCGGGCUGCCCGCCGCCUCACGUCCCCACCGUAGAGGGAGGAACCUGCGGGCUCUGGAGGCAGGAUGUCUGCUCCGCCACGCCCAGGCCAGGUGACCCAAGAAGCAAUUUGAAGAAGGUAUACCAUAAGAACGACUUGAAUACAAGCCAGGGUUUCAAUACAGGCCAUACCUGCGGCUAG